GGACUAGUACUUUAGUCUGGGCCUGGUCGUAGUAAAGGGCUAGUACUUUAGUCUGGGCCUGGUCGUAGUAAAGGGCUAGUACUUUAGUACUCGUACUUAAGGGCUAGCGGUGUCUUCAGUGUGUGUACGUCUGUGUUUGUGUCGUCAGAGUUUGGGAUCGAUUGCAGUGCGCCUCAGCAUUAUCCCGUUUUCCAGUUUCAGCUCGUUUCAACAUCACAGUUUAGCCAAAUCAAAGUUGGAAGUUAUAAACGGGGUCAGAGAAAAUAAAAACACCAAACCAAAAGAACCCAUACCAUAAAAACUGAAAUGUUUGUGGGAUCAUGGAAGGCGCCGGCGGGCGACUCCCCCAGCGUGGUUUCCAGUCCGGGCGACUACACUAAUCUCCUGCACGUUGUCUAGAUCAGAUAAGAAGGAGUGCUGCGAUUCAACAUCCAACGUUACUUCCUCGUAGUAAGUUAAGGAUUCCCAAUGCAGUCAUCAGUCCGAUCGCACGGGAGAGUUCCCUCGACCCCCCCUGAAGGAGUCUGGGUGGGGGGGGCAUGGGAGUGUUCCCUCUACCCCCCCUGAAGGAGUCUGGGUGGGGGGGGGGGGUCAUGGGAGAGUUCCCUCUACCCCCCCUGAAGGAGUCCGGGUGGGGGGGGCAUGGGAGUGUUCCCUCUACCCCCCCUGAAGGAGUCUGGGUGGGGGGGUCAUGGGAGUGUUCCCUCUACCCCCCCUGAAGGAGUCCGGGUGGGGGGGGCAUGGGAGUGUUCCCUCGACCCCCCCCUGAAGGAGUCUGGGUGGGGGGGUCAUGGGAGAGUUCCCUCUACCCCCCCUGAAGGAGUCUGGGUGGGGGGGGUCAUGGGAGAGUUCCCUCUACCCCCCCUGAAGGAGUCUGGGUGGGGGGGGGGGGUCAUGGGAGUGUUCCCUCUACCCCCCCUGAAGGAGUCUGGGUGGGGGGGGCAUGGGAGAGUUCCCUCUACCCCCCCCUGAAGGAUCCGGGUGGGGGGGGUCAUGGGAGUGUUCCCUCUACCCCCCCUGAAGGAGUCUGGGUGGGGGGGGGGAGCACAGCCAGCCCCCCGUCACAGCGGCUGGCGAUCAUGUUGCCCACCUCCGUCCAGGUGUCCAGGUGGGGGUCGUAGACCUCCACAGAGUCCACCGUCACGGGGGCCGAGAAGUCCCGGCUGGUGGCGCGGCCCCCCACUGCGUACAGCAGCCCGUUGACCGCCGCCACCGA